UUUCCUAAUGUGUUCCUUAGAUGAGUGAGGUGUCUUCUAAAAAUGAUUCGAUUUGGUUCCCUUUCUGAUAGAGAAACAUUCUGUUGUAGAGAUUUACAUAGUACCUUAUCAUCCACUCAUCUAUCCAGUGAGCAGCGUGUGGUUGUGGGUUGAACACCUCCAUAGUGGUCAUGGACGCUCCCUAUUCAAAUAGAGUGGUGUAUAAACAGCAUGUUCUUGUCUGCUCUAGUUUCCAGUGAGCUCUGUGAGAGAUAACACUCCCAUACACUUUAAAUCUGGGUGAAGCAGAACUCAGAGAAGGAUGAUUUUAGGACAGUGUAUUUUAUUGCUACUCAUUUCAUAUUCUUAUGGACAGUCCCUGACCUCCUCUGAUUCUGUGAUGAAGAGACCUGGAGAGUCGGUCACUCUGUCCUGUACUGUCUCCGGAUUCUCAAUGGGCAGCUACUGGAUGCACUGGAUCCAUCAGAAACCAGGACAAGGACUGGAGUGGAUCGGGCGCAUUGACACUGGCACUGGCACUGCAUUCGCUCAGUCUCUACAGGGCCAGUUCUCCAUCAGUAAAGACACCAAUAAAAACUUGCUGUAUCUACAAGUGAAGAGUCUGAAAGCUGAAGACACGGCAGUUUAUUACUGUGCACGAGGGUCACAUUGACACAAAAGACUCCAGAGCUGUACAAAAACUUACACAAGCACGUCCUCAUGAGCUGUAAAUAUUCCCUCAGCAGGAAGCUGCACCCCAGAGACCUUUAUUAUAAACAACAUCAUCUAUUCACACUCAGAUCUUCUUCUUUAUAACAAUCUCUUCUAGCAGUUAUUAAUAUUAAUAUUAACAAUAAUCCACGUUAUGUAUCACACUUACAUUAUGACAUCUUUACUUAUUUGACUGGAGGUAAAUCAGCUCUAGGACAAUGAUUGUGAUGACUAGUUGGGACUAUAUACUGUACUAUUCAUGCUUUUAUUCCUCCUGAUUGUGAUGCCAGCUGCAGGAACACUACAGGUCGAUGGUUCAUUUCCUGAAUUUAGAAACACAGUCUGUUCA